rnacentral:lncRNA from 1 species
AGACCCCCUUCACCUAUGGGUUCUUUUUCUUCUUGAUUUCGAUUCUCUAAUCCAAUAAUUUAUUUUUCGUUUGGUGCUAUAAGGGAGUCCCUUUUUUUAUUUUCAGUAAUAUUUUUAUUAAUGUUCCUAUUUCCAUUAAAAUUGAAAAGAAGUUAUUUUAUUGGUAUGAUCCAUGGUUUAACCUUAUAUGCAUUAUAUAGCAACACAAAUGCUGGGAAGAACCAAAGUUCUAGAUUCGGUAUAGGAUGACUUAGUAUUUCUUAAUUUAGUCCCAUCCAAUCAAAAUGGCUUCCUUCUUUAUUGGAUGGGUUGCUUUCUUAAUCUUGAUAAGUUGUGAAAUAAAAAAAGGUCCAUUUUAUCAAUUAUUUGAUAAUUCUUAACCACAGUCUUAAUAUUUUUGUUACUCUUGGUACUGGUAUCGACCCAGGACUCAAUAUCGACCUUAUUUCUAAGACAAAAAUGAAGAAUUCUUCAAUUAAAAAACUUUUUGUGCGAAAAAUUCCCCAUAGCAUCUAGGAUAUCGCCUUCUCCUAGAUAAUUAUGGAUAGGGAUAUCCCUCAGUGUAUCAAAAAAAUUUUGUUUAUCCAUGUUGUAAUGAUAAGAACUCUCUUCCCUCUUAUUUACUUGGAAUGGUGAUCAUAAGCAUACGGGUCCCUCUUAUCUUGAUAAUUAAUAUAUUUAUAUGAUAAAAAAUCAUAUCCAUAGUGUUUUUUAAAAUUAAAUUUUUUAUAUUUUUGUUCUUGAUUCAAUUUAUAUUCUUGAGUCAGUAAUGAGUUCACUUGAAUUUUUUUUUGUAAUGAAUUAAUCUUUCUUUUUCAUCUGAAUCCUAUUUUGUUAAAUCUUUAUUUUGAGCCAAAUAGUGUUGAGAGUCAUUGUCUUGGUACUAAUUUUAGCCAUCUAUUCUGAACUAAAUUGUAUUGAUAAUGACUCCUUAACUAGUUUUUCCAUUCAUUUAUUCCAAGAUGCCAAACGAUUUUUUGUCUUAACCUAUAAUGAUGUCUUAAUCUGGAAUGAGAUACUCCAUGUUCUUCAAAAUAAUCUUUUAUUCAUUUUUAAGAAAAAGAGAUGUUCCAUGAUAUUGAAGGAUAGGUUUGAAUUAUAAAAACUAAUAACUUGGGUUUGUGAUAAUUUGUAAAAUACAUAUGCUUGUGAGAGGGAGGAUAAGUCACAAAGCUUUUUCAUUUUUAUUUCUAAUUCCUUGCCACGGCCACCUUGGGGAGGGACUUCAUAAUUGUAGCCUCCAUCUUCCAUCCUAUCAGCCAGUUGUCCAUUGUAUCCACCACGUCCACGGCCACGGGAACCUCGCCCUCUGCCUCGACCAUAGCCACGAUUGUGAUUCCCGCCUCCAUCCUCAUACUCAACAUUCCCUCUACUCAUUGGCCUUCUUCUACCAUCUCGACCAUUAUGUGAUCCUACCUUCACCUGAUUAACUGGUAAUGGAGGUUGAUUCCCGAUAGAUGACAUAUCCAAUUCUAUUUUUGAAAGGGUUAUAGUAAUGAUGGACACAUGCCUAGUGGUCUCUGUUAAGAAAUGGCUUAAAAUUGGUAGUGGAUUGUUGUUGUUGGUAGUGGGUUGUUGGUGGUAGUGGAUUAGUGGAUGGUUGUUGGUGUCCAUUUUCAACCACAAAUCUUUGCCAAAGUUUUGGACAAUUAUGUCCUUGAACUCUCUUAUAAAUAGAGAGGUUCAUUAGCCAUAUUGAUCAUCCCAAACCAAGAGAGAGCAAAGCUUGUUCUUUGAAAGCUAGGAUUUUAGCUUUCGGGUUUUCUAUAGGGGUUGAGAGUUGUGAGGUUCUCGGGUUGUGUCUUGAGUGUAAAACACUUGUAAUCUUCAUCUUGUUAUAGUGAAAUUUCUUUUCGCCUCUGCCCGUGGACGUAGGCAUUAAAGCCGAACCACGUAAAUCCUUGUGUUCACUUUAUUUUUCGUUUCGGUCAAUUUACUUGUAGUCAUAUCGGAGUUCUCGAAUCGAUCCUUUCCGCAACAAAUUGGUAUCAGAGCGUAGUUGAAGGAGUGAUAAUAUUUUCUGAAUUGCCCUGUGACUGCAGCUUUGUCUGAUCUUUCACAUCAGGAAGAAAAUAUUAUCAUUCAUUCAAAGGUUCCAAAUUAUGGCUACAAGUGUUUCAUCGACUAAGUAUGAUGUCGAGAAAUUUACCGGGAAAAAUAGUUUCAGUUUAUGGCGCAUCAAGAUGCGGGCAGUGCUGGUUCAACAAGGAUUGCUAAAAGCAUUGUCUGGUAAAGAUAAAUUACCAAGCACGCUUUCGGAAGAGCAAAAGGAUGACAUGCUAGAAAGAGCACAUAGUGCUAUUCUGCUAUGUCUAGGAGAUGAAGUGCUACGAGAAGUAGCGGAUGAGAAAACCGCGUCCGGUUUGUGGCUCCGGUUAGAGAGCAAGUACAUGACGAAGUCAUUGACGAACCGGCUCUACCUCAAGCAAAGACUCUAUGCCCUGAAGAUGGAGGAAGGUACACCUGUUUCCCAGCACCUGGAUAAAUUCAAUUCCAUUAUCAUGGAUUUGAAUAAUAUCGAUAACAAAAUCGAUGAUGAGGACCAAGCAAUAAUUGUUUUGUGUUCUUUGCCUCCCUCGUAUGAGAAUUUUGUUGAUACAAUGAUGUACGGUCGUGAUGACCUGACUCUAGAGGAGGUGAAAAAUGCCUUAAGUUCCAGUGAGUUGAGGAAGAAAAUCACUGGUAAGGUGGUCGAAAACAAUGAAGGCGAAGGCUUGGUUGCUCGAGGAAGAUCCAAGGCAAAGGGUGGAAGUUCAAGUAAAAGCCAUCCUAGAUCGCAGUCCAAGAAGAGAAUACAGUGCUACUACUGUAAGAAGUACGGGCACAUGAAGGUAGAUUGUCCGAAAAGGAAGGAGAAAUCAGAAUCACAGGAGCAACAAAAUGAUCGUGCGAAUGUAGCUGAUGCAGAUUCUUCAAGUGAUGCCGAGAUCGUUCUUGCAGUAUCCGACUCUUACGCUGGUGGGAGAUGGAUUCUUGAUACGGGAGCUACAUUUCAUAUAAGUACUUCGAAAGAUGCAUUCUCAACAUACGAGAAGCAUUCUGGUUCAGUACUAAUGGGAAAUGACCACGCAUGUCAAGUCAUGGGGAUUGGCACAGUUCGUAUAAAGAUGUUUGACGGUAUUGUUAGAACUCUAACUGAUGUUCGGCACAUUCCAGAAAUGAAGAAAAAUUUGAUCUCUUUGAGUACGUUGGACAAGAAAGGCUUUCGGUACUCUGCUGAAGGUGGAGUUCUCAAGGUAUUCUCGGGUGCUUUGACUGUGAUACGUGGUAAUUUGGAGCGGGGCCUUUACUUCCUCGAUGGUUCCUCGGUUACAGGUGUUGCGGGAGUGUCAUCAUCAGAUGAUCUAGAUUCUGACACCACGAAGUUAUGGCAUAUGCGGCUCGGGCAUAUGAGCGAGAGAGGCUUAUCGGUGCUAAGCAAACGAGGAUUAUUGUCUGGGCAGUGUACAGGAAAGUUGAAUUUCUGUGAGCACUGCGUCUUCGGUAAGCAGACUCGGGUAAAGUUCAGCACUGGGAUUCACAAGACAAAAGGCACAGUGGAUUACUUCCAUUCUGACCUUUGGGGGCCUUCUCCGACAAUUUCUAAAGAUGGUUACAGAUAUCUGCUUACCUUUAUCGAUGAUUACUCGAGAAAGGUUUGGGUGUAUUUUCUGAAGAGCAAGUAUGAGGUUCUCAUCAACUUCAAGCAAUUUAAAGCUUUGAUCGAAAAUCAAACAGGAAAGAAGAUCAAGCGAUUCCGGACGGAUAAUGGCUUGGAGUUUUGCUCAGGUGAAUUCAAUGAGUUCUGCAAGAAUGAAGGAAUAGUGAGACACCGCACUGUUCGUCGAACACCACAACAAAAUGGAGUUGCAGAACGCAUGAAUAGAACUCUCUUGGAGCGAGCUCGUUGCAUGCGAUCAAAUGCUGGGCUCGGUGAAGAAUUUUGGGCUGAAGCUGUUAAUACUGCUUGUUAUUUGGUUAACAGAUCUCCGUCAACAGCUAUUGAGCUGAAGACUCCUGAGGAAGUAUGGUCUGGUUCUCCUGCUGAUUACUCUGGUUUAAGAGUGUUUGGCUGCCCUGCGUAUGCUCAUGUAAAUGAGGGAAAACUCAAACCGAGGGCGAAGAAAUGCAUAUUUCUUGGAUACGGCCAAGGGGUGAAAGGAUACAGGUUGUGGUGUCCUGAUCCGGUUUCGUCCAAGUUCAUCAUCAGCAGAGAUGUGACUUUUGAUGAGUCAUCCAUGCUUCGAUCCACCACAAAUUCCCGGGAAAAGGAGGAGUCAGAUAGAAUGGGAGAUCACGGUGUUGAGAAGCAGGUGGAGUGUCAGGUGGACGCUCCAAUUCCUACGGAAGGUACUUCAGUCCAGGAUGAUCAAGUUGAGGUGCAAGAUUCCGAUGAAGAUGAGUCACCUCAAGAAAAACCAUAUAGCAUUGCCACUGGAAGAACGAAGAGACAAAUCAAACCAAAUCCGCGUUACGCUAAUCUGGUGUCUUUCGCGCUCAGUGUGGCGGAGUCCAUUGGUAUAGAACCUUCCAGUUAUAAUGAGGCUGUCACGUGUGAUGAGUCGGCACAGUGGGCAAUUGCUAUGAGUGAGGAGAUAGAAUCUCUUCACAAGAACCAUACUUGGGAGUUGGUUAAGCCGCCAAGUAACCAGAAGAUAGUUGGUUGCAAAUGGGUCUUCAAGAAAAAGGAAGGCAUCCUAGGGAUUGAAGCAACUAGAUUCAAGGCACGAUUGGUUGCUAAAGGCUUCACUCAGAAAGAGGGGAUUGACUACAAUAAAGUUUUCUCCCCAGUCGUAAAGCAUUCUUCCAUUCGUGUAUUACUUGCCAUGGUGGCCAAGUCUGAUCUAGAACUUGAGCAGCUUGACGUAAAAACGGCGUUCUUGCAUGGUGAGCUCGAGGAAACAAUCUACAUGCGUCAACCAGAGGGUUUUACAGUUCCUGGUAAAGAAGACCAUGUCUGUCUAUUAAAGAAGUCUUUAUAUGGAUUGAAACAAUCCCCAAGGCAGUGGUACAAGCGGUUUGAUAGCUUCAUGAUUCAGCAUGGUUACACAAGAUGUGACUAUGAUGCUUGUGUCUAUCAUCGGAAGCUCUCAGAUGGUUCGCACAUUUAUUUGUUGCUGUAUGUUGAUGACAUGUUAAUUGCUUCCAAAAACAUGUCGGAAAUCAACAAGUUAAAGUCGCAGUUGAGUGGUGAGUUCGAGAUGAAGGAUCUGGGUGCUGCCAAGAAAAUUUUGGGCAUGGAUAUUCACAGAGAUCGCAAGGCGGGCAAGCUUCGUGUGUCGCAGAAGAACUACAUUGAAAAGGUUCUUCAACGCUUCGGCAUGGAUAAAGCGAAAACUGUGAGUACUCCGUUGGCACCACAUUUCAAACUAUCUGCAGAGUUGUCACCACAAUCUGAUGAAGAAAAGCAGCAAAUGUCUCACAUUCCAUACUCGAGUGCAGUUGGAAGCGUGAUGUAUGCAAUGGUUUGCACUCGUCCAGACAUUUCACAUGCAGUUAGUGUGGUCAGCAGAUACAUGAGUUGUCCUGGCAAGGAACACUGGCAGGCCGUGAAAUGGAUUCUCAGGUACUUGAGAGGUUCUGCAGAUUUAUGCUUGGUAUAUGAUCAGAGUGACUGCACUAGCAGUGUCACGGGCUAUGUGGACUCUGAUUAUGCUGGAGAUCUGGACAAAAGAAGAUCUCUGACGGGUUAUGUUUUCACUUAUUCUGGAGGAGCCAUUAGUUGGAAAGCUGUGUUACAGUCUACCGUAGCCUUAUCUACGACUGAGGCGGAAUAUAUGGCGUUAGCAGAAGCAGUGAAAGAAGCAUUGUGGAUGAAAGGUCUAGUAAGCAGUUUGGGUUUACAACAGGAUUUCACUGUUGUAUUUUGCGAUAGCCAGAGUGCCAUACAUCUGACUAAAAAUCAGAUGUUUCAUGAACGGACCAAACACAUUGAUGUCAGAUAUCAUUUUGUUCGGGAACAUGUUACGCAAGGUGACAUUGUUAUCAGCAAGGUUGCUACCGAGAAGAAUCCUGCAGAUAUGUUAACUAAGGUGAUCCCUGCAUAUAAGUUCAAGCAUUGCUUGGACUUGAUAGGUAUUCGGGAUUGAUUAGCGCCAGAGAGGCGUUUGGAAGAGGUGAUCCAGUUCACUAUGAUGUUCAGCUUGGUAAAUUUCAAGCCAAGGUGGAGAUUUGUUAAGAAAUGGCUUAAAAUUGGUAGUGGAUUGUUGUUGUUGGUAGUGGGUUGUUGGUGGUAGUGGAUUAGUGGAUGGUUGUUGGUGUCCAUUUUCAACCACAAAUCUUUGCCAAAGUUUUGGACAAUUAUGUCCUUGAACUCUCUUAUAAAUAGAGAGGUUCAUUAGCCAUAUUGAUCAUCCCAAACCAAGAGAGAGCAAAGCUUGUUCUUUGAAAGCUAGGAUUUUAGCUUUCGGGUUUUCUAUAGGGGUUGAGAGUUGUGAGGUUCUCGGGUUGUGUCUUGAGUGUAAAACACUUGUAAUCUUCAUCUUGUUAUAGUGAAAUUUCUUUUCGCCUCUGCCCGUGGACGUAGGCAUUAAAGCCGAACCACGUAAAUCCUUGUGUUCACUUUAUUUUUCGUUUCGGUCAAUUUACUUGUAGUCAUAUCGGAGUUCUCGAAUCGAUCCUUUCCGCAACAGUCUCCAAUGGAACAAGUCUUUCUUCCAAAGGCUCCCCCAUACCAGUUAUAUUCGUGGAUCCAAUUGAUGUAAUCUGAUGAAGACCCACAAUUCUUUUCUUAACUAACUCUACAAUAGUUACAGCCUGUUAAUGGCUUUUCCCAUUGCCUUAAACACUAUUUGAUUGGAGCCGUUUUCCUGAAGCAAAGUCAAGGCGUAACUGAUAUAAUUGCGCAUACUGCCUUGAUUGCUGAUCCCAAUCUCCUCCUCGUCAAUGGGUGUCUCUGCUUUCGGCCUCUCCACACUCUGGUAUCCAUCUUUAAUGCUUUGUUAAUGGAGGAUUAAUUGGGAGGGUAAGCUACACUAAGAGGGACCCCUCUUCUACACCUUAUUUCUCUUUCUUUUACACCCUAAUGCCUUGGCACAUAGGGUGUAUAAUAUAUAUACUUUAGUUUUAGAUUUGUGAUUGUGAAUCGAAUUCCGAUUCCGAUUACUGUUAGGAAUGGAGUUCUUACUGUUUUUAUAUAAUUAGUACACAAACCUAGGGGUAUAGAAUUAGGACAUAAACUUUAAUGUUGAGUCCAGGGGUUCGCAGGGAGCCCAGCUCGGAAAAAGUUUUUUAUUUAGAUUUUUCAAAAUUUUUAAAACUUUAAAUUAGUAAAAGUAAAAUUUUAUUUUAACCCUUCUUAAAAAUGAUAAAAAAUUAAUUUAAUCUUUUUAAAAUUAUAAAAAUAUAGACUAUUAAAAUGAUGAAAUUACAUUUUUACUAUUAUAAAAAUUACAAUUUAAUUUCGAUCCUAAAAAAAUUUCUAACUUAACCUUUGUUGAGCCAUUGAGCCCAAAUUGUAAUGUCAAAUAAUUUAAUUAAAUAAUGGACUUCUCUUUCCUUCCUAGAGAUUCUUUCUUAUAUUAAGAAUGCAGAUUUAACCAUUAAAUAGAAUACAAAGAAAAUGAUCUAAACUAUUGGGUGUAAACAAAAAUUUCUAAAGAUUUUAUAUUAAUUUCUUGCACAUAUAUAAAUUGUUUUCUUAAUAGUUAUGUAUAAAAAAAAGUUUAAAAAUAAAGAUUAAAUGUCGAUUGAGUCUUUAACUCGAUUGGUAUGAGUAUUAUUGUCAAUGCAAGAGGAUGUGGGUUCGAGUACGCUGAAGUAUAUUAUCCUCUUAUUUAUGGGUUGAGAAUGAACUAUUGGUAGUUCUAGACAUUGUGUCAAAAAGAACAGAUAUGGUCAAAAUAUAUAAUGAGAUUGUUCAAAAAUAAAAAUAAAAAUAAAAACAAAAAAUUUGGAGGUAUUUCCCAUAUCUAUUGAAUUCUUAAUUACUAAUUACUACUAGACAGAUCUAUAGAAAAUACUAAAGACUUUGGAGGUAUUUCAAGGAGUUCAUCUUCACUUUCAAGCAUAUUCAAAACUUUGGUCAUUGAAGGACGAUAUAUGGGCUUCGUCUGUAUGCACCAAAAGGCUACAAUUAUCAUUUUCCUCACAAUUUUGGUAUCAUUUUCACUCAAGUCUUCAAGCUUCAGGUUCUCCCCUAAUUCAAAUUGAUCAUAAAUCCAUGUAGGGAAAUAAUUUUGACUUGAAUGGUCAACAGAAUCUUUCAAAUUUUUUCUCCUUCCUACAAUUUCCAUUAGCAUCAUUCCAAAACUAUAAAUAUCAGCUUUAUACGAUAUAUUUCCAAUAUUUUUAUAAAACAAUUCAGGAGACAUAUAUCCAAAUGUACCACGUGCUGCUGUGAGAGAAAUAAUACUAUCAUCCACUGGAUAUAAUUUUGCGAGACCAAAAUCUGAAACUUUUGGAUUAAAAUUGUCAUCUAAAAGAAUGAUAUGGGGCUUGAUAUCAAAAUGCAAAAUCUUCAUGGCACAACCAUUAUGUAAAUAUUCAAUGCCCCGACCCACUCCAACUACUAUCUCAAACAUCUUUUGCCAACUCAAGCUGUUAUUUCCUGUUGAAAAUAUAAAUUUGUCUAACGACCCAUUUGUCAUGAAAUCAUAAACAAGAGCUUGUUUUUUUCCCUCCACACAAAAUCCAAUAAGUUGCACCACGUUCACAUGAUGAAUCCUUCCAAUAGUUGCUACUUCAUUGAUAAAAUCUUGGCCAUUACCUUUUGAUUCCUUUAGCAAUUUUAUUGCAACGAGAUUACCACUUCGAAGUUUACCUUUAAACACAGUACCAUAACCUCCCUGACCUAAUUUAUCGUUGAAACCUCCUGUUAUUCUCUUUAAUUCAGCAUAUGAAUAUCUUAUAGGCAUAAAAUUGGUUUGACUUUGAAGAAAGUUCUCAAUCAAAUCAUCUACCGACAGAUGUCUUCUUCUUAAUUUUCGUAUAAUAAGAACAGCCAAACAAGAUAUCCCCAAAAGUGUUCGAGCUAAUAUAAUCCCUAUUUUCCAAGAAAAAGUAAGUAAAAGAAUCAAUCCACACCGAUAUGUAUAUAUUAGUUAUUAAAACUUGGUUUGAUUAAUGCUUAUUUUAUUUUUUUGUAUUGUUUGCUAUUUGUUGAAUCUUUAAUUUAUUUUUUACUUUUAAACUUUUCAUUUUCUAUUGAAAUAAGAAACAGUAGAUGGAACCUAAUUUAAGCAAUGUGCAAAUGCUCUAUUUUUUCAAAACAAACUCCGAAACAUAAUUUUUAUUUUGACCAUAGUAUCAUAAAUGUACCGAUUUAUACAUACCUGUUAUUGUAACACACAAAAUCUGUACUCCUGUUAAAAGAAAGAUUAAAAAGUAAUUGUUACUUGAAUGCAGAUUAAACAAAUAAUUUUCCUAGCAUUUAUAUACUUUUACAAAUCUACUCAAUAAGACUGCUUGACUCGUUGAAUUUUGAUUUUACACAAUUAAUUUAAUAUAUUUUAAAAUAUAUUUAAAUUAAUAUUUAAAUAUAAUUCAAGAAUCAUAUUGACUAAUAAAUUUAUGAAUUAAUGUGCCACAUGCUCAAUCCAUAAUGAGUGAGCAAUCGUUUCAAAUCAGUAAUACUAAUAAUCAUAUUAUAACUUUUAUAUCUGAGAGCUAAUUAAGCGAAAAAGUGGGAAAAAAACUCACAUAUAAAUAUUAAGGAAAUCUGGAAAACAUACCUCUACUAGGUGCAUCAACGAAGUAACCCUCUAUAGAAGUGCCACGGAGAAUUAAGGCCGUGUUGCUUCGUAUAUAUAAGCUAAUCCCAUACAUCAACCCCAAGAACAACGAUCCCACUCUGGAUUACGCAAACAAAAGAUAAACACUAAAAUUACGAAUAAAUAUAAACAAUACUAAGUUCCAUUGAAAAAAAAAUAAGAAAAGUGCUCACACGUGAGAAACUGAGUUCCAUUGCUGCCAACCAUCAUCACCAACCUUAGCAUCAUUAGGAAAGUACCAUUUGAAUUGGGUGCCCUUCAACAACCUUUGGUAAAUAUCAAAAGUAGAGACGCCAGUGAUAUCGGAAGGCGUAAUUGGAACCAAUGCUUCAAAUGUGCAUGAAGGAUGGAAAUCAGAGGGCGCAGCUUCAGUAUGCAAAAAAUAAAAGUAACCAUUAGCUGCAUCUGAAGGAGAAGUAGAGCAACGAGAAGCAUCGAUGUAAUUAGCCGAAGAGUUUAUCAUCUUGGUCUUGCAAUUUACCACAUAAAUCUCUCCACGAUCAUUCAUAUCAGCUCUAUUUAGGCCUAGUACCCCUAAAGAUGGGUUCAGCCAGGGGGAGGAACUAUGAGGAACGGAGCAGUUAUCAUCCCCUAGACUCGCAUCCACGAGCAGAAUAGUUUGGUUGACAUAAGAGAUGUGUUUAAUAAGGAAAUUCCCUUUUUUCAUAGGGAAAAUGGUGCGGUUAUUCUCACACACUAGCUCUCCCCCAUUAAAAUUAGGACCACAGCUAUGGGAUUGGGUUCUUAAUCCAAAAGGGAAACUGAUGUUAAGGUUUCCACAGAAAGUAGAGCCACAAUGCUUGUCUCCUAUGCCUCUACAACAUGAAGGCCAAAGUGAGAUAACAAAGCAAGGAGUAGGGGGCAAAAUGAUGCAAGUUUUUGUCUUAGCAUCCCUAAUAUAGCUUAACUAGUUUCAGUUCAAUUUGAGAGAUGGAGAUUUAAUAAACAACAAAGAUUAAAUAUGACUUUAUCACCAAAAACCCAAUAAUUAAUUAAUUAAUAGAAUGAAUUUUAUUUUACAAUUGGGUUCAUUUGACUGAGUGGAUAGGGGGUGGCUUCUACUAUACAAGUCAACGGCACACCACCCACGACUAAAACCAAAAGAUUGCUGCUGUUUGUUUUUUUGGUCGAAUUCAAGAGUUUGACUUUGACUAUAUGCUAUUAUUGUUUUUUUUCUAACACCGAAAUUAUUGUUAUUAGAAUGUUGACUUGGUUGAUGUUGAUUUACACCUAACCUAAGCCCUCCCUUAUGGACAUAAUUGUAAUUUUAUUUUAGUUUCUUUUUCUUGAUAAUAUUAUUUGAAUUUUAUGCUAAAUUUUGUCUCCUUUUAAUUACAAUACAUAUUUCAUUAAAUCAAAAUAAACACAGUACUAUGGACAGUAGUUGAGCUGCUGUCCAUUGCUUGGGAGAAGGUUUUCUAGAAAGUGGCUAUCGAAUAUGACAACAGAACUGAGAUCAAUAUGCUAACUGAUGAUACAGUGGGCGUGAACAAUUUGCCACUGUAAGAACUGUCAAACAACCAUGCAAGAAAUUUAACAACAAAGAUUAAAUUAAACAAAAAAUAAAUAUUUUAUCUAUGUAAUUAUUUUAUAAUUGAAAUUUUGAGUUUAGAUGAGAUUGAAGAAGAAUUCCUACUAAGGUAUAAAAUAGCAGACGUUUACACAUAAAUAAAUAUUGGUCUACAUUUCACAUAUUAAUUUUAGGAGAGUCUUGUCUAUUUAUCUUCAUAGCCAUUCCAGGGCAGCAAACGAAAGCAAAUUACCCUUUGAAAUAUUACACAACUUGCAUUACGCACAGUCUCGUGUCUGUUUAAUUCUUAUUCACUAUCAUUACAUGACAUGUCCACAGAAAAUAUCAAAGACUUCGGAGGUAUCUCAAGGAGCUCGUCUUCACUUUCAAGCAUCUUCAAUACUUUGGUCAUUGAAGGACGAUGUAUGGGCUUCGUUUGUAUGCACCAGAAAGCAACCAUUAUCAUUUUUCUCAUGAUGCUGUUUUCACUUUCUGUCAUGUCUUCAAGCUCUAUGUUCUCCCCUAGUUGAAGUCUAUCAUAAACCCAUGUAGGAAAAUAAACUUGACUUGAAUGCUCGGCAGAAGCGUUUAAAUUUUUUCUCUUUCCCACAAUUUCCAUUAGCAUCAUUCCAAAACUAUAAACAUCAGCUUUAUACGAGAUACCUCCAAUACUUUUAUAAAAUAAUUCAGAAGCCAUAUAUCCAAAUGUACCAUGUGCUGCUGUGAGAGAAAUAAUACUGUUAUUCACUGGAUACAAUUUUGCUAGACCAAAAUCUGAAACUUUUGGAUUAAAGUUGUCAUCUAAAAGAAUGUUAUGUGGCUUGAUAUCAAAAUGUAAAAUCUUCAUGGCACAACCAUUAUGUAAAUAUUCAAUACCUAGACCCACGCCAACUACUAUCUCAAACAUCUUUUCCCAACUCAAACUGCUACUUCCUGAUGAAAAUAUAAAUUUGUCUAAAGACCCAUUUAUCAUGAAAUCAUAAACAAGAGCUUGUUUUUUCCUCUCCACGCAAAAUCCAAUAAGUUGCACUACAUUCACAUGAUGAAUCCUUCCAAUAGUUGUAACUUCAUUGAUAAAAUCUUGGCCAUUACCUUUUGAUUCCUUUAGCAAUUUUACUGCAACGAGUUUGCCACUUUGAAGUUUGCCUUUAAACACAGUGCCGAAACCUCCCUAGCCUAAUUUAUUCUUGAAACCUCCUGUUAUUUUUUUUAUUUCAGCAUACGAAUACCUUAUCGGCAUAAAAUUCUUUUGACUUUGAAGAAAGUUUUCAAUCGCAUCAUCCACCGACAAAUGUCUUCUUCUUAAUUUACGUAUAAUAAGAACAGUCAAACAAGAUAUCCCCAAAAGUGUCCGAACUAAUAUAAUCCCUGUUUUCAAAGAAAAAUAAGUAAAAGAAUCAAACCACAAUUCUGAAAUAUGUAUAUAUUAUUUAUUAAUUCUUCGUAAUUUCUUGAAUCUUUAAUUUACUUUUUACUUUCAAACUUUCAUUUUCUAUUGAAAGAAGAAACUGUUGCGGAAAGGAUCGAUUCGAGAACUCCGAUAUGACUACAAGUAAAUUGACCGAAACGAAAAAUAAAGUGAACACAAGGAUUUACGUGGUUCGGCUUUAAUGCCUACGUCCACGGGCAGAGGCGAAAAGAAAUUUCACUAUAACAAGAUGAAGAUUACAAGUGUUUUACACUCAAGACACAACCCGAGAACCUCACAACUCUCAACCCCUAUAGAAAACCCGAAAGCUAAAAUCCUAGCUUUCAAAGAACAAGCUUUGCUCUCUCUUGGUUUGGGAUGAUUAAUAUGGCUAAUGAACCUCUCUAUUUAUAAGAGAGUUCAAGGACAUAAUUGUCCAAAACUUUGGCAAAGAUUUGUGGUUGAAAAUGGACACCAACAACCAUCCACUAAUCCACUACCACCAACAACCCACUACCAACAACAACAAUCCACUACCAAUUUAAAGCCAUUUCUUAACAAAUCUCCACCUUGGCUUGAAAUUUACCAAGCUGAACAUCAUAGUGAAUUCCUCGAACUGGAUCACCUCUUCCAAACGCCUCUCUGGCGCUAAUCAAUCCCGAAUACCUAUCAAGUCCAAGCAAUGCUUGAACUUAUAUGCAGGGAUCACCUUAGUUAACAUAUCUGCAGGAUUCUUCUCGGUAGCAACCUUGCUGAUAACAAUGUCACCUUGCGUAACAUGUUCCCGAACAAAAUGAUAUCUGACAUCAAUGUGUUUGGUCCGUUCAUGAAACAUCUGAUUUUUAGUCAGAUGUAUGGCACUCUGGCUAUCGCAAAAUACAACAGUGAAAUCCUGUUGUAAACCCAAACUGCUUACUAGACCUUUCAUCCACAAUGCUUCUUUCACUGCUUCUGCUAACGCCAUAUAUUCCGCCUCAGUCGUAGAUAAGGCUACGGUAGACUGUAACACAGCUUUCCAACUAAUGGCUCCUCCAGAAUAAGUGAAAACAUAACCCGUCAGAGAUCUUCUUUUGUCCAGAUCUCCAGCAUAAUCAGAGUCCACAUAGCCCGUGACACUGCUAGUGCAGUCACUCUGAUCAUAUACCAAGCAUAAAUCUGCAGAACCUCUCAAGUACCUGAGAAUCCAUUUCACGGCCUGCCAGUGUUCCUUGCCAGGACAACUCAUGUAUCUGCUGACCACACUAACUGCAUGUGAAAUGUCUGGACGAGUGCAAACCAUUGCAUACAUCACGCUUCCAACUGCACUCGAGUAUGGAAUGUGAGACAUUUGCUGCUUUUCUUCAUCAGAUUGUGGUGACAACUCUGCAGAGAGUUUGAAAUGUGGUGCCAACGGAGUACUCACAGUUUUCGCUUUAUCCAUGCCGAAGCGUUGAAGAACCUUUUCAAUGUAGUUCUUCUGCGACACACGAAGCUUGCCCGCCUUGCGAUCUCUGUGAAUAUCCAUGCCCAAAAUUUUCUUGGCAGCACCCAGAUCCUUCAUCUCGAACUCACCACUCAACUGCGACUUUAACUUGUUGAUUUCCGACAUGUUUUUGGAAGCAAUUAACAUGUCAUCAACAUACAGCAACAAAUAAAUGUGCGAACCAUCUGAGAGCUUCCGAUGAUAGACACAAGCAUCAUAGUCACAUCUUGUGUAACCAUGCUGAAUCAUGAAGCUAUCAAACCGCUUGUACCACUGCCUUGGGGAUUGUUUCAAUCCAUAUAAAGACUUCUUUAAUAGACAGACAUGGUCUUCUUUACCAGGAACUGUAAAACCCUCUGGUUGACGCAUGUAGAUUGUUUCCUCGAGCUCACCAUGCAAGAACGCCGUUUUUACGUCAAGCUGCUCAAGUUCUAGAUCAGACUUGGCCACCAUGGCAAGUAAUACACGAAUGGAAGAAUGCUUUACGACUGGGGAGAAAACUUCAUUGUAGUCAAUCCCCUCUUUCUGAGUGAAGCCUUUAGCAACCAAUCGUGCCUUGAAUCUAGUUGCUUCAACCCCUAGGAUGCCUUCCUUUUUCUUGAAGACCCAUUUGCAACCAACUAUCUUCUGGUUACUUGGCGGCUUAACCAACUCCCAAGUAUGGUUCUUGUGAAGAGAUUCUAUCUCCUCACUCAUAGCAAUUGCCCACUGUGCCGACUCAUCACACGUGACAGCCUCAUUAUAACUGGAAGGUUCUAUACCAAUGGACUCCGCCACACUGAGCGCGAAAGACACCAGAUUAGCGUAACGCGGAUUUGGUUUGAUUUGUCUCUUCGUUCUUCCAGUGGCAAUGCUAUAUGGUUUUUCUUGAGGUGACUCAUCUUCAUCGGAAUCUUGCACCUCAACUUGAUCAUCCUGGACUGAAGUACCUUCCGUAGGAAUUGGAGCGUCCACCUGACACUCCACCUGCUUCUCAACACCGUGAUCUCCCAUUCUAUCUGACUCCUCCUUUUCCCGGGAAUUUGUGGUGGAUCGAAGCAUGGAUGACUCAUCAAAAGUCACAUCUCUGCUGAUGAUGAACUUGGACGAAACCGGAUCAGGACACCACAACCUGUAUCCUUUCACCCCUUGGCCGUAUCCAAGAAAUAUGCAUUUCUUCGCCCUCGGUUUGAGUUUUCCCUCAUUUACAUGAGCAUACGCAGGGCAGCCAAACACUCUUAAACCAGAGUAAUCAGCAGGAGAACCAGACCAUACUUCCUCAGGAGUCUUCAGCUCAAUAGCUGUUGACGGAGAUCUGUUAACCAAAUAACAAGCAGUAUUAACAGCUUCAGCCCAAAAUUCUUCACCGAGCCCAGCAUUUGAUCGCAUGCAACGAGCUCGCUCCAAGAGAGUUCUAUUCAUGCGUUCUGCAACUCCAUUUUGUUGUGGUGUUCGACGAACAGUGCGGUGUCUCACUAUUCCUUCAUUUUUGCAGAACUCAUUGAAUUCACCUGAGCAAAACUCCAAGCCAUUAUCCGUCCGGAAUCGCUUGAUCUUCUUUCCUGUUUGAUUUUCGAUCAAAGCUUUAAAUUGCUUGAAGUUGAUGAGAACCUCAUACUUGCUCUUCAGAAAAUACACCCAAACCUUUCUCGAGUAAUCAUCGAUAAAGGUAAGCAGAUAUCUGUAACCACCUUUAGAAAUUGUCGGAGAAGGCCCCCAAAGGUCAGAAUGGAAGUAAUCCACUGUGCCUUUUGUCUUGUGAAUCCCAGUGCUGAACUUUACCCGAGUCUGCUUACCGAAGACGCAGUGCUCACAGAAAUUCAACUUUCCUGUACACUGCCCAGACAAUAAUCCUCGUUUGCUUAGCACCGAUAAGCCUCUCUCGCUCAUAUGCCCGAGCCGCAUAUGCCAUAACUUCGUGGUGUCAGAAUCUAGAUCAUCUGAUGAUGACACUCCCGCAACACCUGUAACCGAGGAACCAUCGAGGAAGUAAAGGCCCCGCUCCAAAUUACCACGUAUCACAGUCAAAGCACCCGAGAAUACCUUGAGAACUCCACCUUCAGCAGAGUACCGAAAGCCUUUCUUGUCCAACGUACUCAAAGAGAUCAAAUUUUUCUUCAUUUCUGGAAUGUGCCGAACAUCAGUUAGAGUUCUAACAAUACCGUCAAACAUCUUUAUACGAACUGUGCCAAUCCCCAUGACUUGACAUGCGUGGUCAUUUCCCAUUAGUACUGAACCAGAAUGCUUCUCGUAUGUUGAGAAUGCAUCUUUCGAAGUACUUAUAUGAAAUGUAGCUCCCGUAUCAAGAAUCCAUCUCCCACCAGCGUAAGAGUCGGAUACUGCAAGAACGAUCUCGGCAUCACUUGAAGAAUCUGCAUCAGCUACAUUCGCACGAUCAUUUUGUUGCUCCUGUGAUUCUGAUUUCUCCUUCCUUUUCGGACAAUCUACCUUCAUGUGCCCGUACUUCUUACAGUAGUAGCACUGUAUUCUCUUCUUGGACUGCGAUCUAGGAUGGCUUUUACUUGAACUUCCACCCUUUGCCUUGGAUCUUCCUCGAGCAACCAAGCCUUCGCCUUCAUUGUUUUCGACCACCUUACCAGUGAUUUUCUUCCUCAACUCACUGGAACUUAAGGCAUUUUUCACCUCCUCUAGAGUCAGGUCAUCACGACCGUACAUCAUUGUAUCAACAAAAUUCUCAUACGAGGGAGGCAAAGAACACAAAACAAUUAUUGCUUGGUCCUCAUCAUCGAUUUUGUUAUCGAUAUUAUUCAAAUCCAUGAUAAUGGAAUUGAAUUUAUCCAGGUGCUGGGAAACAGGUGUACCUUCCUCCAUCUUCAGGGCAUAGAGUCUUUGCUUGAGGUAGAGCCGGUUCGUCAAUGACUUCGUCAUGUACUUGCUCUCUAACCGGAGCCACAAACCGGACGCGGUUUUCUCAUCCGCUACUUCUCGUAGCACUUCAUCUCCUAGACAUAGCAGAAUAGCACUAUGUGCUCUUUCUAGCAUGUCAUCCUUUUGCUCUUCCGAAAGCGUGCUUGGUAAUUUAUCUUUACCAGACAAUGCUUUUAGCAAUCCUUGUUGAACCAGCACUGCCCGCAUCUUGAUGCGCCAUAAACUGAAACUAUUUUUCCCGGUAAAUUUCUCGACAUCAUACUUAGUCGAUGAAACACUUGUAGCCAUAAUUUGGAACCUUUGAAUGAAUGAUAAUAUUUUCUUCCUGAUGUGAAAGAUCAGACAAAGCUGCAGUCACAGGGCAAUUCAGAAAAUAUUAUCACUCCUUCAACUACGCUCUGAUACCAAUUUGUUGCGGAAAGGAUCGAUUCGAGAACUCCGAUAUGACUACAAGUAAAUUGACCGAAACGAAAAAUAAAGUGAACACAAGGAUUUACGUGGUUCGGCUUUAAUGCCUACGUCCACGGGCAGAGGCGAAAAGAAAUUUCACUAUAACAAGAUGAAGAUUACAAGUGUUUUACACUCAAGACACAACCCGAGAACCUCACAACUCUCAACCCCUAUAGAAAACCCGAAAGCUAAAAUCCUAGCUUUCAAAGAACAAGCUUUGCUCUCUCUUGGUUUGGGAUGAUUAAUAUGGCUAAUGAACCUCUCUAUUUAUAAGAGAGUUCAAGGACAUAAUUGUCCAAAACUUUGGCAAAGAUUUGUGGUUGAAAAUGGACACCAACAACCAUCCACUAAUCCACUACCACCAACAACCCACUACCAACAACAACAAUCCACUACCAAUUUAAAGCCAUUUCUUAACAGAAACAGUUGAUGAAGCCUAAUUUAAGCAAUGUGCAAAUGCUCUAUUUUUCCAAAACAAACUCCAAAGCAUAGUUUUUAUUUUGACCAUAGUAUAAAAAGUGUACCCAGUUAUAAAUACCUGUUAUUGUAACAAAAAAAAUCUGUAUUCCUGUUAAAAGGCAAAUAAAAAAAUGGAAUUAUUAGUUGAAUGGAUAGUAGGAACUAGGAAAGCAAAAGAGAAAUUCAUUACUUAAAAAAUAUAUAAGUAAAUAAAUUUUUUUUAUAUAAAACUACACAAAGAUUAUAUACUGAUUCAAAGUACCUUUACUAGGUGGAGAAGUAGCAGGUGGGAGGACAAGAGCCAUCAUGCUUUCUGCAUAUAGUAAAAGCAGACCAACUAACACCCAGAACAACGAUUGUAGUCUGGAAUAUUGAACAAAACACAUUAAAAUUUUUUUGGUUAAUCAGUGCUCCAUAAGACAAUGAAUUAAUAGGACAUAUUAGCAAUUAUGUUGUUGUAGACCAAAUUUUAAUUUGAUUUAUAUAUUAUUGUUGCAAUCAUUCAGAAGAUGCAAGUUUAAAUAUGGGAUUUAAUUUAAGCAUAAUAUAAAAAAUAUAUAUUUAUUAAAAGAAAAACAAAAGGAGGCUAUGUGAUUGUGAAUACUAAAAAAAGAAUACUUACGCGUUAACAACUGAGCCCCAAUGCAGUUUAGAUUGAAGACUCCAUGUAAUUUGGGUGCCCAUCCUCAGCCUUCUGUAAAUAUCAAAAGUACAGAGGCCAUUUAUGUUUUGAAGACUGAUGGGAACCAGGGCUUCAACAGUGCAAGAGGGAUGGAAAGCAGAGUGUGCAGUUCCUCCAUCCAAAAAAUAAAAGUAAUUCUUAUUUGUUGGGGGACAAGAAGAGCAACGACAAGCAUUGAUGUAGUUAGCCCCACUCCACGACUUAUUCAUCUUCGUACUGCAGUUCAUGACAAACAUCUCUUCAUAUGUAAAUGUAUCGAAUUCAAACUCAGUAUCAAGAUAUGUAUAAGAUGUUGCUCCUAUUUGAGGGAAUUUUCUACUUGUAGGGGAGCCGAAAGGAAGGGAACUAAGAGGAAUAGAGCAGUCAUCUUUGUCCACAUUCACAUCAACAAUAUGAAUAGUUUGGUUAUCAUAAAAGAUGUGUUGGACAUAAAAGUUCCCUCGAUCCAUAGGGAAGAUGGCAUGGUUAUUGUCGCACAGCAGCUCAAAUCUCUUAAGACCACAGCUUUGAGGCUCGGUUGUUAAUCGAAAAGGGUAACGGAUGCUAAGAUUUCCACACAGAGUAAAUCCACAAGGCGUGUUUAUGCUUCUAGCGGUAGAAGCAUGAGGAAAGGAAGAUAAAGCAAGGGCUAACAGGCAAAGUAAUAGAAGUUUUGGUGUUGCCAUCCUAAAGUUUCAGUGGGAGAGACGGAAGAAUUUAAUACAGGCUUUUAAGAACAAAGAUUAAAUAAAACUAAAUAUGUAUUGUCUCUGCAAUUGCUUUAUAAAUGAGAAUUUGAAUCUCAAUCGACUUGAAAGAUACUAAAGAAAAAUGUAUAAACUAACAAUAACGGGUUUAAGAACAAAAAAAUGAAUUUGAUGAGCACUUAAAUAAGACAUAUAUUAUAUAUUUAUUUUGAGUAAUCUUAAAGUCAUUUUAAGGCUGCAAUUGAAAGCAAAUUCUCCUUCUAAACGGUGCAUAACUUGCAAUACAUAAUAUUAAUUCAAUAAUCAUUCAUCAUUACAGGACAUGUCCACAGAAAAUAGAAAAGACUUGGGAGGUAUUUCAAGGAGCUCUUCUUCACUUUCAAGCAUCUUCAAAACUUUGGCCAUUGUAGGACGAUGUAUGGGCUUCGUCUGUAUGCACCAAAAUGCAACGAUUAUCAUUUUCCUCACAAUUUUAUUUACAUUUUCUGUCAUGUUUUCAAGCUCUAUGUUCUCUCCUAAUUCAAAUUGAUGAUAAAUCCAUAACGGAAAAUAAAUUUGACUUGAAUUGUCAGCAGAAGUAUUCAGAUUUUUCCUCCUUCCCACAAUUUCCAUUAACAUCAUUCCAAAGCUAUAAACAUCAGCUUUAUACGAGAUACCACCAAGAUUUUUAUAAAAUAAUUCAGGCGCCAUAUAUCCUAGUGUACCUCGUGCUGCUGUGAGAGAAAUAAUGCUAUCAUCCACUGAAUGCAACUUUGCAAGGCCAAAAUCUGAAAGUUUUGGAUUGAAGUUUUCAUCUAAUAGAAUGUUAUGUGGCUUGAUGUCAAAAUGUAAAAUCUUCAUAGCACAACCAUUAUGUAAAUAUUCAAUACCUCGACCAACUCCAACUGCUAUCUCAAACAUCUUCUGCCAACUCAAGCUGCUAUUUGUUGAAAAUAUAAAUUUGUCUAAAGACCCAUUUGUCAUGAAAUCAUAGACAAGAGCUUGUUUUUCCCCCUCCACACAAAAUCCAACAAGUUCCACCACAUUCACAUGAUAAAUUCUUCCGAUAGUUGCAACUUCAUUGAUAAAAUCUUGGCCAUUACCUUUCGAUUCCUUUAGCAAUUUUACCGCAACAAAUUUACCGCUUCGAAGUUUGCCUUUAAACACAGUACCAUAACCUCCCUCACCUAAUUUAUCCUUGAAAUCUCCUGUUAUUUUCUUUAAUUCAGCAUAUGAAUAUCGUAUAGGCAUAAAAUUUAUUUGACUUUGAAGAAAGUUCUCAAUCGCAUCAUCUACCGACAAAUGUCUUCUUCUUAAUUUGUAUAUAACAAGAGCAAUAAAGCAACAUAUCCCCAAAAAUGUCCUUAUCAGAAACAUCCCUGUUUUUCAAGAAAAAAAAAAAUCAAGCAACACCAUAAUUCUAUACGUAGUUUUUACUGUUCAUACCAUAAAGGUUUUGUGCUUUUCAAUUUGUUUCAUUUUAUAUCUAUUUUUACUUUUAAACUUUUUCUUUAUAUAAAAGUGAGACAAAUAUAAACGUGAUGGAGACUAAUUAAGCAAUUCAUUAGUAUCAUAGAAGUACAGAACUGCGUACCUGUUAUUGCAAGGAAAGGAAUUUGGAUGACUGUUAAAAGACAUACAAGAAAUAUGUGUUACAUGAAUGUCUGGUAGGAAAGUAAAGGCAAAUCCAUUAAUAAAAAAAUAUAUGUAUUAGUUAGAAGGAAUAAUGUCAAUAACCAUGUGAUCUGUUUGUAUAGUGUUAAACUAUUAAUCUUAAUUAUGAAAGAUUAACCUUGGUUAUUUGAACUAAUAUUCAGCAUGUUACAAAAGGUGCCAAUAAGGAUGGGGAUAAGGCAAUUUUGUCUACAUUAGUUUUAGACCUCGAUAGCUUUUCCUAAUUUGGUUUCAAAACUGUUCCCCAACUUAACCAUUCAUAUGGAAUGAGAUUUGAUUUUUUUUUUUAAUGUUUUUGUUUCUUGAGAUAUUUUCAAAAUUGGUCUCUCAAAUUUUAUCAGACUUUUAAUUUAACCCUAUCUUUUUUUUUUAAUUUAGUGGAACGUUUGUCUUUUUAAUUUUUUGCAGAAUAGGCCCCUCAACUUUUUUCAGGCUUAAUUUGUUUUUGUAAGGAAUUAUUAUUCCAAUUUGAACUCAUUACAAAGAUUAUAAUUAUAAGUAUAAAAAUUUACUUAUAACCUUUUUUAAAAUAUACAUCUAUUUAUUUUUCAUUGAAAUGAUUAUUAAUCUUAUAAUUGCUAUAAAAAUGUACUUACACUAAUUUUUAAAAUAAUUCUAAGCCCGGACCGACUUAAAAAAUAGGCCUUAAAUUUUACCGAAGCCCAGUCCAAAUAAGAAUGCUAAAACCUAAUCCUGACCUGUAUUUAAAAUUUUUAUAUAAAAAAUUAAAAAAUAUAAUAAAAUAAAUACACUAAAAACAUUAAAAUAAAUAUUUCUCAACAAAUUGAAAAUAAAUUAACAAUAAAAUAAAAGUUAUAUAAUAUCCAAAUAAUAAUAAUAACAUAGUAGCACUGUAAUAGUGAAAUUAGAGACAAAUUUAAGGGGCUGGCAGGGGCCCGGCCCCCCCUAAAAUGUAAAAUUGCUAUUUAGGCCAAAAAAGUUUAAAUAGUAAAGGUAAAAUUACACUUUACCUCCUAAAAUUAUAAAAAUUCGAUUUAAUCCUUUAAAAAUUAUAAAGAUAUAGACUACAAAAAAUUAAAAUUUUAUUCGACCCCUUUAAAAAUUUAUUUUGGCUUCACCCCUGAGUGAAAUGACAGUAAAAUAGAGACAAAACAGCAAAAACAACAACAUUUUUUCUUUUGCAAAUUUAGGAACAGCAGCAGUUUAUCUUUCACAAAUUUGGGUUGAGCCAAAAAAGUUUACCCAAAGUAUGACCCGUUUAGAAAAUGUAUCUUAUUUUUUUAUUCAUGCCCAUUUUUUAAGCUUAUAUGUUUUUACGAAUUCUCCCACUUUUUGGAUGGAUUUUUAGGACGGGUCAUAUGACCUGAUGCAUGAUAAGUGUACAUACAACUAGAAAUAGGAAUGUACAGGAAGACCAAAAAAUUUAAACAAAUUUCUGAGGAUCUUCUUUGUUGUUUAACUAUUAACGUACUAAUAAUUUCAUAACGUAGGAUCGUGAACGAGUUGGAGAAAGCAGUAGGCAGAAAUAGAAAUUCACUCACACAGCUGGGUCGAAGAGUUUUGCUUCUAUAGCUGAGGCCAAGGUAUUUUAAAUUUCUUAAUACUGUCAAAUAUUUAUUACUUUCUAUUAAAUAAUAUUUUUACUACUAUAUUGUAGGAACUAUCGUCCGGUCAAAAAGUUUGACGCCUUCAACUUUUUGACAUUAAGCAUAGGAAGAAAGAUGGAUCUCCUAUGACUCCUGAAGCUGCAGAAAUUAUGGUACAUUUGCUUAAUACAAUUUGACUUGUUUUAAUUAUUUAUAGUGUUUAUUUUCUAAUAGUUUAUUUCAUUGUUUGUAAUGCAAAUAUUGUUAAGUUAUGUUGCAUUUGUUUUUUUAAUAUAUAUUGCGUUCCUAACUAUGUGAUUUAUUUCUUAGAAAAACUAAAGGAUAAAAAGGCGGAGUACUAAGUGAUUGCUUCUAGUGAUAGUUCUGUUCAUAUUGACGACAUUGAUAACCGGAUUAUCACUGAAGUUUUGGGUCCUAAAGGGUAUGGUCGAGUUCGAUUUCAAGGAUCUCCCGACCUAAUAUUUUGGAUCCAGCUCGCAACAAUACAUGCCUUCGGGGAGUCAGGUUCAAGCUGAAGUUCAAAGGUUAAGAGACCAGAUGGCUUAGAUGCAAGCGACAACAGUUGAGCAAAUUACACAACUUAAAGCGGAGGCAGCAUCGAGAGAAGCUGAGGUUCAAAGGAAGUAUGAAGAACUCCAGCUGCAGCUUAAAGCAGAUGCGGCAGUGAGGGAAGCAGCGACCGCAGCAAGGGAAGCAGAGCAGAGCAGAAAGUACGACGAACUCCAACAACAGCUUCAGAAUAUGAUAAAGAUGUUUCAGCAGUUGCAACAGCCGCCGUCUUAGACUAUCGUGUAAAUAUUUUUAUCAUUUUAACUUUUAACAUUUUUGUAAGAAUAAUAUGAAUUAUAUUUUAUUUAUUGAUAUUUAUUAUAUACUAUUCAUUUUAUUUUAAAUAUUAUAUAGAUUUAUUGCUUUUGAUUGGUUUAGAUUUGGUUUCUUCUGAUUUACUGUUACAGGAGGGCUCAAAAUAUAAAAAAUUAGCUUUUACAAAUCUACCAAAAUUAGUGGCGUUUUUAAAAAAAGCGCCACUAAAAUGUCAUGGUCUUUAGCGGCGUUUGUGGGAAAAGCGCUGCUAAAGCUCAUGGUCUUUAGCGGCGUUUGUGGGAAAAGUGCCGCUAAAGGUCAUGGUCUUUCGCUACGUUUGUGGAGAAGCGCCGCUAAAGGUCACGGUCUUUAGCGGCGUUUAUUUCUAAAAACGCCGCAAAAGUUAGCGAUGCUGUCAAUAGCGGCGUUUUUUGCUGCUCUUCUAAAAGCGCCGCUAAAGGCCUAAAAAAGCGUCGCUAAAAACCUAUUUUGGUGUAGUGUGUGUACAAAGUAUUAAUUUUGUCUUAUUAUUAUUAUUUUAAGUUUGGUUUUGAAUUUUAUAGCCUAAUUUAAUCUAAGGUUUUUAUUCUGGAACGGGAUAUUAAAAUGUUAAAAAAAAAAUUCAAUUUUAUGAAGAAGUUAUUAUAACGAAUUCUCACUGAAUUUAGCAAAAUCUUAAAGCAAUAAUACAUACCAAUUAUGGGUUCGCCGGUGAGAAAAAGGAACACGUAGGCUAGUAUACAUAUAGCCACAAACGCCAACAGCCGUAAGAACGAUAGCAGUCUGGAAUAUACAACGUAACACAUAAUUAACGAAAUGGUUAAUCAGUCCUUAAAAAUUAAAACCAUAAAAAUAAAGUAUAGAAAUCCUCACGUGUUAACAACGGAGCUCCAAUCAAGUAUGACAAUAUUGAUAAGCCGAAGGUCCCAUUUAAUUCGGGUGCCCAUCAUCAGCUUUUUGUAAAUAUCAAAAGUGGAAAGUCCAUUGAUAUUAUGAACACUGAUCGGAACCCUGGCUUCCACAGUGCAUGCAGGAUGCAAACCAGACGGUGGAGUUCCUCCAUCCAUAAAAUAAUAGAAAUUAUUAUUAGUUUGCGGAGAGGAAGAACAACGAGAAGCAUUUAUGUAAUUAACACCAUGCCAAGACUUGUUCAUCUUCAUACUGCAAUUCACCAUAUAUAACUUGCUAUACUCGCUAUAGUUAUAUCGAUAAAAAGCAACAUCAUUUUGUAUGGUGAUGUUAAACUCGGGAGGUAAAGGAAGGGAACUGAGAGGAAUAGAGCAGUUAUGGUUGGCCACAUUCACAUCUAGCAGAUGAAUAGUUUUGUUAACAUAAGAGAUGUUUUGGACAUAGAAAUCCCCAUCUUCCAUAGGGAAGAUGGUGCGGUUGUUGUUGCAAACCAGCUCAAACCACAUAAAACCACAGCCUUGAGGCUGGGAUUUUAAUCGAAAAGGGUAACUGACGCUAAGGUUUCCACACGAAGUAACUCCACAAUGCUUGUUUAUGCUUCGAGCGGUGGAAGCAUGAGGAAAGAGAGAUAAAGCUAGUGCCAACAGGCAAACUAAUGCAAGUUUUGGUCUUACCAUCCUAAAAGUUUCAGGGGGAGAGAGAGAGGAGAUUUUAGUUUAAUUUAAUACAGGCUAACCAGUCUCUUAACAGUUUCUGCAAUUUUUCACUCUCCAAAACCACGUCUUUCUUUCCCAAAUUUAAAGAAAGAAAAAAAAAGGAGUAGAUAACUAAUUGGAAACCAUACAACAAUACGAAAUCCAAUAAUAAUUUUUCCACACCAUCAAUUUCGGUAAGGAAAAGAAAAGCGGGACGCAAGAAUUGAUGGCGAAAAUGAUAAGAGAAAAAGACAUCUUUAUAAUUCACCACUUGAUGUUUUCCUUAAUAUCGGGAGAGGAAUAAAAAGAACUUUGAAAUUUCAAUCAACUGGAGUCUACAGCAUCACACGGAAACCGUACGAGAAUAAAUUUUAAUCGGUAAAAGUUACAUAGACACAAUUGUAUUAAGAGUUAAAUUAUAUUUUAUUCUUUUUAUUAAAAAAAAGAAAAGUAAUUUAUAUAUAUUAAAUUAAAAAAUAAAUUGGUCAUUCUGUUAAAAUUUUUAUCCAUUUCUAUUGAUAAAAACUAUUAGUUGUACAUAUCAUGUGGUACAUAUGGCUCGCCUGCAUCACUGUUUGGUUAUUCUGUCGAUCACACCAGGCUUUAAUAGUACAAAUCGAUAAAAUUUUUAACAGAAGUGACUAAUUUUUUCUUUAAUCUAACGUAUAGGACUAAUUUAUUCAUGUUUUAGUAGAAAGUACAAAAUACAAUUUGAAUCCUAAUGGUAUACGAGCCUCCAUGAUAUUUUUACCAUUUUGAUACAAUUAAUUUAUCAACUUUUUUUACCGGUACAAGAAUUAUUACAAGUUGGGAAAACAAUGGAAUUUUUGGUUUAUCUUGAUUGUUCUGUAACCACUCAUUCCAUGGGUGAGAAGUCAGUCAACGAAAGCAAAUAGUAGUGUCAAUUUCAUUACAAAAAAAUACUCAAGUCCGAACAAUUGGGAUGUUAUCAUUAACUACAAAACUGAAUUCAUGAUUUAAAAUUUCUACUUACACAAAUUGACCCCACAAUCCUUAAACGAGUGAUUUCAGGGAACUCAGCCUAUGGUUAGUACCAUUAUCCAAAGAAUGAAUGACACAAGUGGGAUCUUCAUCGAAUUGCAAGAAGUAAGGGAAGUGGCAGCAAUUGCAACACGAGAACACUAAACAAGACAUAUAUAGUAUAGGUAAUAAUUAUUUUGAGCCUGCAAAUGAAAGCUAAUCCUCCUUUGAAACAUUAUAUAACUUUCAUUACAUGUACUCCCAUGUCUAUUGAAUUCUUAUUUACUAUCAUUACUAGACAUGUCCAUAGGAAAUACUAAAGACUUAGGGAGGUAUUUUAAGGAGCUAAACUUCACUUUCAAGCAUCUUCAGUACUUUGGUCAUUGACGAAUGAUAUAUGGGCUUCGUUUGUAUGCACCAAAAGGCAACAAUUAUCAUUUCCCUCACAAUUUCGGUUUCAUUUUUUGUCAUGUCUCCAAACUCUACGUUCUCUUCUUCAAAUCAACCAUAAGUCCAUGAUGGAAAAUAAGUUUGACUUGAACGGUCAGUGUAAGCAUUCAAAAUUUUCCUCCUUCCCGCAAUCUCCAUUAACAUCAUUCCAAAGCUAUAAACAUUGGCUUUCUUCAAGAUACCUCCAAUAUUCUUAUAAAAUAACUUAGGAUCCAUAUAUCUUAUUGUUUCUCGUGCUACUGUGAGAGAAACGAUGAUGUCAUCCACUGAGUGUAACUUUUGUGAGACCAAAAUCUGAAACUUUUAAGGUAAAAUUGUUGUUUAAAAAAUAGUACGUGGCUUAAUAUCAAAAUGUAAAACAUGCAUCGUACAUCCAUUAUGUAAAUACUCAAUUCCUCGACCAAUUCCAAGUUCAAUCUCUAGUAUAAGUGAAUGAAUUUGUUGUUGUUCCUAUAUAAUUGCUUUAGUCUCAUCUUAAUAAGUUGCAUUUGAAUUAUAUUAACACUAUGGAAUAUUCAGUACUCAAUGUCAGUUAUGUUUGUCUCCGUGCGCAGGUCUUGAAUGUGUAUAGACUUAGAUUCUCAGGUCAAGCAUCUAACUAAAAGACUCAACUCGAGAUUCAACUUGUUACCUCUUUUGUAUGCAUUUAUGAAUUUGGGUUUUAUGGCAUGUACAUAGAGAAUUUUGGUGUCGAACUUGCAUUUUGACAUGUUUAGUAACUUGGUCUAUAUGGCUUAUAAAGUUGAGUUUUUUUCAUUGGUUAUUAGAUAAUUAGGGAAGUUCGCAUGAGUGUGUUUAUGUAAGAUAAUUAUUUUGGAUGUUGUGUUGGGUUAACAGGUCCAAUGUCACGACAUUCCCCAAUUGAAGUUGCAGCAAUAAAGAUCAAUCACCAAUGUGUGGUGCUGAGGUCCGCUGAUUUGAGGUUCACAAAUCAACUAGUGGUUCGCUAGUUGACUUACCAAAUACUCGUAAGCCAAAUGAGGUACGCUAGCUGGCUUAUCAGCUAUCUAUGGUUCGUUGUGACAUGUAGCUUGCUAAAAUGUGGACUCUAAUAGGAGGCAUGAGUCAGGUAUUCCUAAUUUUGCAUUGAAUACAUUUUCAACCUAAAUUUCCUUGGAUGAUUUUUGUUAAGUGAUAGUCACAAUUGUAGUUUUUUUGGCAACGUAACGUGAUGUCUUGCAUUCGAAUCUAACAAUUGGGUCGAAGGUGGCUGUCAUACAGGAGUUGCAGGAGGAGCCAAAAUAAUGCAAGUUUUGGUGUUGCCUUCGUGAACCGCUUUGGCAACGUAAUGUGAUGUCCCAUAUUCAAAGCUGAAGAGCGAGUCGAAGGUGGCUGUCACACAGAAUUUGCAGGAGGAGCCAAAAUAAUUCAAGUUUUGGUGUGGCCAUUACGAACCUUAAGUGUGAGUGGCAGAGAAAUGAGUUUUAUAUAACUAAGGACGUUUGUUUAAUUUAAUUCAGGCAAGGCAUUACUAAGGAGAUUAACUCUAUUCUUUUCAUCUUAUUAUUUCUGCAUUAAUACCUCCUGACUAUAAAAACACAAAAAGAAAGAGUCAACCAAUUAAAACUAAACCAUUAAAAUACUUCAACAAUGACCUGUCAUUGAGCAAUCAAAAAAUUGAUGGCGAAACUGACACAUAAAAUACUUGUUAUAUAAGUAAUCUAUAUGUGAAUCUUCCUUACCAUAAAAAACAAAAAGAAUAUCUUGCUUUGAAAAUUCAAUCAACUGGAGUCUAUAGCCUAAUAAGUAAAAUGGUCAAAUAUAUGGAUCCCAUUAUAAUAAUGAUACAUAUUGGAUUGUUGAAAUGUGGCAACACAGCAGCAACAUGCAAGUGACCAAGCAACAUAGCAGCAACAUGCAAAUGUCCAUGGUGUAAUUCGGUUGUAAAGCUUUUAUAAUAAUUGACUUUUGCUAGUUUGGUUGUAAUAUUUUUUGUUUGUUCAGCUAAGGAUUAAUCAUGUACUUAGCUCAUUUAGGUUGUCUUUAAGCUGAUUUAACAGCUUGGAUACUUGCACAACUAAGUUUUGUUUUUUACCAAUGUAAUUGAACUACUUAUGUAUAUGACAUUUUUUCUUAUUCAAGUAAUAAAGUUGAUCUUUUCUUCAUCAUCCAACAUUCGAAAUUUGCUUCUGUUUUUCAUCUUUCAAACACAAAUUUUUGUUUUUGAUCUUUAGCUAUUGAUUUAAACUCAACAAAUGGUAUCAAGAGCCAGUCAUCUUUGAGGGCCUUUGUUGUGUGUUGGUUUGUGUUGAUUCUUUGAAUGAUUCGUGCUUGAAAGAAAAAAAAUAGAAGCUAUCUUUGUUGGCUUGUUUAGUUGUUACAAAAGGAUGAGUUUUUCACCACUACCACCACCUAUUUUUGCUGGUGAAAAAUACAAUAUUUGGGUUGUGAAAAUGAAGACAUAUCUGUAGGCUCAUGAUAUGUGGAGUGUUGUUCUAACUGACACAACUACCACCUCUGAGAGCUAAUCCAACUAUAGCUCAAAUCAGGCAGCAAAAUAAGGACUGUGCCAAAAAGUAUAAGGCUACGUCAUGCCUUCAAAAUGGAGUUUCAGAUAUGAUCACAAGAAUAAUGGCUUGUGACACUCUAAAGCAGGCCUGGGACAGACUCAAGGAAGAGUUUCAAGGGUCAAACAAGACCAAGCAGCAACAACUGAUCAACUUGAGAAGGGACUUCAAGAAUCUGAGGAUGAAGGAGUUUGAGACCAUCAAGCAGUAUGCUGACAUGAUUAUGACCACAUUCAACAACAUAAGACUGCUUGGAGAUGACUUUAGUGACAAGAGGAUAGUUGAAAAGGUCAUUACUACUUUACCAGAGAAGUAUGGGUUAAAAAUCUCUUCUUUGGAAGACUCGAGGGAUCUAUCAGCUAUACCCUUUAACAGAGCUGAUAAAUGCUCUCAACGCACAAGAGUAGAGAAGAGCAAACAGAAUAGAGGAGCAUUCUGAAAGAAAUUUUCAGGCUAGGAGUAGAGAAAGCUCAAGCUCAAGCUCAAGCUACAAAGGCAAGAAGCCUUGGACAAAAAAGAAAGAAAAAUGGAAGAAGGAUACCGCUAAAAUGAAGUUUCCACCAUGCACUCAUUGCAAAAAGACCACUUACUUAGAAAAAUAUUGUUGGUAUAGGCCUGACUUUCAGUGUAGAAACUGCAAGCAACUAGGCCACAUUGAAAAGGUUUGCAAGAACAAGGCAACAACACAACCAUAGCAGUAGAGUCAAGCUCAAGCUGUUGAGGAUGUACAAUCUCAGGAGGAGUAUGUCUUUACUGCCUCUUGCUUUACAAGCUCGAGCAAAGUCAGGAAAAAUUAGAUGAUUGAUAGUGGCUGCACUCAUCACAUGGCUUCAGAUGAAGGUAUGCUUAAGGAGCUUGACACCAACUUUGUGUCCAAAGUCAAAAUUGGGAAUGGUGAGUUCAUCAAGGCCAAACGCAAAGGCAAGAAUGUGAUUUGUACUCAGUCAGGUAAUAAAACCAUCUCAGAAGUUCUUUUUGUACCUGACAUUAAUCAGAAUUUGCUUAAUGUUGGUUAGUUGUUGGAGAAAUGUUACUCCCUUAUUUUUGAAGGAAAGACCUGUGUGAUCAAGGAUUUUUUUUAUCAAGUGUUGGUGACAGUAGUUGUACAUGGUAGAUCAUUUAUUUUGGAUGUGAAUCAGUUAGAAGCAAAGGCAUAUACAGCUCUAGCUGAUGAAUCAUGUUUAUGGCACAAGAGGCUAGGGCAUGUGAACUAUAAGUCACUUGGCUUACUGCAUAAGAUGAGUCUAGUUGAAGACAUGUCCAAGAUCAAGCCUAGGAAUGAUGUUUGUGAGGUUUGCCAACUUGGCAAGUAGACCAGACUGCCUUUUACUGUUAAUAUCAUACUGACAUUUAUAGACCCAUGAAGACUUCUUCAUUGAAUGGUAGUAGGAAUUUUGCAUUGUUCAUUGAUGACUGCACCAAAUUUUGUUGGGUGAGCUUUCUGAAACAAAAGUUAGAAGUGGCUGACUUCUUCUGCAAGUUCAAAGCAUUGGCUGAGAAUCAAGCCAGUUGUAAGUUGAAGAUUUUGAGGUCAGAUAAUAGGACUGACUAUGUGUCUCAAAAGUUCUAAAGGAUUUGUGAUGAAGUUGGAAUCAGCACCAAUUAACCACCAUCAACACACCACAGUAGAAUGGUGUUUGUGAAAGAAAAAAUAGGAUUGUUCUCAAUAUGGCCAGGUGCCUGUUGUUUGAAGGCAAAAUGCCUAACAUUUUUUAGGCUGAAGUAAUAAAUACCUCUGUGUAUUUGCUAAACAGGUUGCCAACUAAUGUAGUCAGGGCAAAACACCAUUUGAAGCUUGGUUUGGACACAAGCCAACUGUCUCACACUUAAAAGUGUUUGGUUGCAUAUACUGUACAUUGGUGCCACCUGAGAAGAGAACUAAACUAGAAAAGAAGUCCAUGCCUAAAGUUUUUGUUGGCUACAAUAGUGUGAAGAAAGGGUAUAGGGUCUUUGAUCUAUCCACUAAGAGGAUCAUUGUGAGUAGAGAUGUGAAAUUCAAUGAAGGGGGCAGUUGGAAAUGGGAUGGAAUAAAUGCAAGCUUGUCUGAGCAAGACCAGCAUGAUCUUGACUUGCAACAUGGUGAGGUUGAAGUUGAUGCUGAGGAUGAUUAUGAUGAUGCACCUUUCAAUGGCACUAGAACCUUAAUGAACAACUAUGAAAGAUGUGGUAUGACCAUUGUCGAGCCUUCCAACUUUGAUGAGGCUGCAAAGGAGGACUGCUGGAAAGAAGUAAUGGAAACUGAAAUGAAGAUGAUCCACAAAAAUGACACUUGAGAGUUGAUUGAUAGGCCAGCAAACAUGAAAGUUAUUUGUUUAAAAUGGGUGUUUAAGACCAAGAACAAAGCAGAUGGGUCACUGAAAAAGCACAAAGGUAGGCUGGUUGUAAAAGGAUACAACCAGCAGCAUGGCAUCGAUUAGUCUGAAACCUUUGCAUAAGUUGCAAGGUUGGAUACCAUAAGGCUAUUGUUUGCCUUAGCUACUCAGAAGCAGUGGAAAGUGCACCAGCUGGACGUUAAACCAGCUUUUCUAAAUGGAUUUCUCAAGGAAGAGAUCUUUGUUGAGCAACUUGAUGGAUUCAAGGUUCUUAGGGAAGAACACAAGGUCUAGAAGCUCAAGAAGGCCUUGUGUAGUCUAAAACAGGUGCGAAGGGCCUGGUAUGAAGAAUUGAUGCCUACUUGUCAAGGCUAGGGUUCGAGAAGAGCUUCAGUGAGCCUACACUCUAUGUGAAGAAGGCUAAGAAAGAAAUAUUUUUGACUGUGUCUUUGUAUGUAAAUAAUCUACUGGUUACUAGUUGUAGGGGUAAGUUGAUUGAAGAAUUCAAGAAGCAGAUGCAAGAUGUUUUCGAGAUGACUGAUUUAGGCUUGAUGACCUACUUCCUUAGUAUGGAAGUGAAUCAGAGUAAGCAUGGUAUUUUUAUAAGCCAACAAUCUUUUGCAUUGAAGGUUCUAAGCAAGUUCUACAUUACAAAAUGCAAGCCUGCUAGCACUCAUGUGCACUAGGAGAAAAACUCUCAAGCAACAGUGAUCAUGACUGUGUGGAUGAGAAAAGCUACAGAAGUCUAGUUGGUUGCCUACUUUACCUGACAAUAACAAGGCCAGACAUCAUGUAUGCAGUUAGCCUUCUAUCGAGGUUCAUACAUUGCGGCAAUGUAGCUCAUUUUAAAAAGCUGCUAAAAGAGUCUUGAGGUAUGUCAAAGGAACCUUAAGCUAUAGAGUGAAGUUUGAGAGAGCUAAGGAGCUGAAGCUAGUUGUCUAUUCAGACAGUGACUGGGUUGGCUCAGCUGAUGAUAUGAAAAGCACAUCGGGCUACUUCUUAACUUUAGGUUCAAGAGUUUUUUGUUAGAGCUCUAAGAAACAAUAGACAGUAGCUCAAUCCACUGCAGAGGCAGAGUAUAUUGCAGUUGCUACUGCUGUUAUUCAAGCCAUUUGGCUUAGAAAGCUUUUGUGUGACUUGAAUGCUAAUCAAGAGGAAACAACAUAGAUCAAAGUGAAUAAUCAAUCAUUUGUUGCUAUUGCCAAGAAUCCUAUUUUUUAUGGCAAGACCAAGCAUGUCAAGAUUAAGUAUCAUUUUGUAAGGGAAGCAGAAUUGUCAAAGGAAGUCAACUUAAUUCAUUGUUGCUCGAAGGUUCAGCUUGCAGACAUUCAGACCAAGCCACUAAUUGCUACAAGAUUCGAGUAUUUGAAGAAGAAAAUUGGAGUCUGCUACUUUGUAGCCAAGGAGGAGUGUUGAAAGGUGGCAACAUAGCAGCAACAUGCAAGUGACCAAGCAACACAACAGCAAUAUGCAAAUGUCCAUGGUGUAAUUCGGUUGUAAAGCUUUUGUAAUAGUUGACUUUUGCUAGUUUGGUUGUAAUCCUUUUUUGUUUGUUCAACUAAGGAUUAAUCAUGUACUUAGCUGAUUUAGCAGUCAUUUAGGUUUUCUUUAAGCUGAUUUAACAUCUUGGAUACUUGCACAAGCAGGUUUUGUUUUUAACUACUUAUGUAUAUGGCAUUUUUGCUUAUUCAAGUAAUGAAAUUGAUCUUUUCUUCAUCAUCCGACAUUCAGAUUUUGCUUCUUUUUUUCAUCUUUCAAACACAAAUUUUUAUUUUUGAUAUUUAGUUAUUGAUUUAAACUCAACAUGGAUCAUUUUCCUUUAGAACAAAAUAAUUAUUUGUCGAUGAAAAGUUAGUCCUUGUUUAGUAGUACAUAUUAAAAUAAUAGGUAUUCACGAAAAUAUAUACAACUAUCAAAUUUUUUAAAAAAAAAAUUAGGGAGGCUGAGUUUUUGAUAAAAAAAGGGUGAAGUUGUGCCAGGUGCUUGGCUUAGGCGACGCAAACAUGAGAGUAGUGAAAAAGAAAAAAAACAAGGGCCAAAUAGUGGGAGUUUUGGUCCAAGCAUAUCGACCCUAAAUCUAAGCUUACUUCAAUUCAGGCACGUUACUAAGAAGAAGUAGACAACUAACUUUGUUUAUCUCUAUUGUGCAGCUGCCUAUUAUCAUCUCAAAAAUGUCGGUAGAAGUGCCAUAUCAACAAGCUAUAUGAGCCUUAUCAAACUUGAUGUCCGAAAAGAUUUUAAGUCAUUGAAUGUUUUUAUUCAUAUAUUUCUACGAGUAGGACAAAUCAAACAUUAAAGAUGAAAACCCAUGUUCAAACAUUAUUUGAUGAAUUGAAAAUUUGUGGUAUAUGAUUUUUGUUAAGAAAUGGCUUUAAAUUGGUAGUGGAUUGUUGUUGUUGGUAGUGGGUUGUUGGUGGUAGUGGAUUAGUGGAUGGUUGUUGGUGUCCAUUUUCAACCACAAAUCUUUGCCAAAGUUUUGGACAAUUAUGUCCUUGAACUCUCUUAUAAAUAGAGAGGUUCAUUAGCCAUAUUAAUCAUCCCAAACCAAGAGAGAGCAAAGCUUGUUCUUUGAAAGCUAGGAUUUUAGCUUUCGGGUUUUCUAUAGGGGUUGAGAGUUGUGAGGUUCUCGGGUUGUGUCUUGAGUGUAAAACACUUGUAAUCUUCAUCUUGUUAUAGUGAAAUUUCUUUUCGCCUCUGCCCGUGGACGUAGGCAUUAAAGCCGAACCACGUAAAUCCUUGUGUUCACUUUAUUUUUCGUUUCGGUCAAUUUACUUGUAGUCAUAUCGGAGUUCUCGAAUCGAUCCUUUCCGCAACAAAUUGGUAUCAGAGCGUAGUUGAAGGAGUGAUAAUAUUUUCUGAAUUGCCCUGUGACUGCAGCUUUGUCUGAUCUUUCACAUCAGGAAGAAAAUAUUAUCAUUCAUUCAAAGGUUCCAAAUUAUGGCUACAAGUGUUUCAUCGACUAAGUAUGAUGUCGAGAAAUUUACCGGGAAAAAUAGUUUCAGUUUAUGGCGCAUCAAGAUGCGGGCAGUGCUGGUUCAACAAGGAUUGCUAAAAGCAUUGUCUGGUAAAGAUAAAUUACCAAGCACGCUUUCGGAAGAGCAAAAGGAUGACAUGCUAGAAAGAGCACAUAGUGCUAUUCUGCUAUGUCUAGGAGAUGAAGUGCUACGAGAAGUAGCGGAUGAAAAAACCGCGUCCGGUUUGUGGCUCCGGUUAGAGAGCAAGUACAUGACGAAGUCAUUGACGAACCGGCUCUACCUCAAGCAAAGACUCUAUGCCCUGAAGAUGGAGGAAGGUACACCUGUUUCCCAGCACCUGGAUAAAUUCAAUUCCAUUAUCAUGGAUUUGAAUAAUAUCGAUAACAAAAUCGAUGAUGAGGACCAAGCAAUAAUUGUUUUGUGUUCUUUGCCUCCCUCGUAUGAGAAUUUUGUUGAUACAAUGAUGUACGGUCGUGAUGACCUGACUCUAGAGGAGGUGAAAAAUGCCUUAAGUUCCAGUGAGUUGAGGAAGAAAAUCACUGGUAAGGUGGUCGAAAACAAUGAAGGCGAAGGCUUGGUUGCUCGAGGAAGAUCCAAGGCAAAGGGUGGAAGUUCAAGUAAAAGCCAUCCUAGAUCGCAGUCCAAGAAGAGAAUACAGUGCUACUACUGUAAGAAGUACGGGCACAUGAAGGUAGAUUGUCCGAAAAGGAAGGAGAAAUCAGAAUCACAGGAGCAACAAAAUGAUCGUGCGAAUGUAGCUGAUGCAGAUUCUUCAAGUGAUGCCGAGAUCGUUCUUGCAGUAUCCGACUCUUACGCUGGUGGGAGAUGGAUUCUUGAUACGGGAGCUACAUUUCAUAUAAGUACUUCGAAAGAUGCAUUCUCAACAUACGAGAAGCAUUCUGGUUCAGUACUAAUGGGAAAUGACCACGCAUGUCAAGUCAUGGGGAUUGGCACAGUUCGUAUAAAGAUGUUUGACGGUAUUGUUAGAACUCUAACUGAUGUUCGGCACAUUCCAGAAAUGAAGAAAAAUUUGAUCUCUUUGAGUACGUUGGACAAGAAAGGCUUUCGGUACUCUGCUGAAGGUGGAGUUCUCAAGGUAUUCUCGGGUGCUUUGACUGUGAUACGUGGUAAUUUGGAGCGGGGCCUUUACUUCCUCGAUGGUUCCUCGGUUACAGGUGUUGCGGGAGUGUCAUCAUCAGAUGAUCUAGAUUCUGACACCACGAAGUUAUGGCAUAUGCGGCUCGGGCAUAUGAGCGAGAGAGGCUUAUCGGUGCUAAGCAAACGAGGAUUAUUGUCUGGGCAGUGUACAGGAAAGUUGAAUUUCUGUGAGCACUGCGUCUUCGGUAAGCAGACUCGGGUAAAGUUCAGCACUGGGAUUCACAAGACAAAAGGCACAGUGGAUUACUUCCAUUCUGACCUUUGGGGGCCUUCUCCGACAAUUUCUAAAGGUGGUUACAGAUAUCUGCUUACCUUUAUCGAUGAUUACUCGAGAAAGGUUUGGGUGUAUUUUCUGAAGAGCAAGUAUGAGGUUCUCAUCAACUUCAAGCAAUUUAAAGCUUUGAUCGAAAAUCAAACAGGAAAGAAGAUCAAGCGAUUCCGGACGGAUAAUGGCUUGGAGUUUUGCUCAGGUGAAUUCAAUGAGUUCUGCAAAAAUGAAGGAAUAGUGAGACACCGCACUGUUCGUCGAACACCACAACAAAAUGGAGUUGCAGAACGCAUGAAUAGAACUCUCUUGGAGCGAGCUCGUUGCAUGCGAUCAAAUGCUGGGCUCGGUGAAGAAUUUUGGGCUGAAGCUGUUAAUACUGCUUGUUAUUUGGUUAACAGAUCUCCGUCAACAGCUAUUGAGCUGAAGACUCCUGAGGAAGUAUGGUCUGGUUCUCCUGCUGAUUACUCUGGUUUAAGAGUGUUUGGCUGCCCUGCGUAUGCUCAUGUAAAUGAGGGAAAACUCAAACCGAGGGCGAAGAAAUGCAUAUUUCUUGGAUACGGCCAAGGGGUGAAAGGAUACAGGUUGUGGUGUCCUGAUCCGGUUUCGUCCAAGUUCAUCAUCAGCAGAGAUGUGACUUUUGAUGAGUCAUCCAUGCUUCGAUCCACCACAAAUUCCCGGGAAAAGGAGGAGUCAGAUAGAAUGGGAGAUCACGGUGUUGAGAAGCAGGUGGAGUGUCAGGUGGACGCUCCAAUUCCUACGGAAGGUACUUCAGUCCAGGAUGAUCAAGUUGAGGUGCAAGAUUCCGAUGAAGAUGAGUCACCUCAAGAAAAACCAUAUAGCAUUGCCACUGGAAGAACGAAGAGACAAAUCAAACCAAAUCCGCGUUACGCUAAUCUGGUGUCUUUCGCGCUCAGUGUGGCGGAGUCCAUUGGUAUAGAACCUUCCAGUUAUAAUGAGGCUGUCACGUGUGAUGAGUCGGCACAGUGGGCAAUUGCUAUGAGUGAGGAGAUAGAAUCUCUUCACAAGAACCAUACUUGGGAGUUGGUUAAGCCGCCAAGUAACCAGAAGAUAGUUGGUUGCAAAUGGGUCUUCAAGAAAAAGGAAGGCAUCCUAGGGGUUGAAGCAACUAGAUUCAAGGCACGAUUGGUUGCUAAAGGCUUCACUCAGAAAGAGGGGAUUGACUACAAUGAAGUUUUCUCCCCAGUCGUAAAGCAUUCUUCCAUUCGUGUAUUACUUGCCAUGGUGGCCAAGUCUGAUCUAGAACUUGAGCAGCUUGACGUAAAAACGGCGUUCUUGCAUGGUGAGCUCGAGGAAACAAUCUACAUGCGUCAACCAGAGGGUUUUACAGUUCCUGGUAAAGAAGACCAUGUCUGUCUAUUAAAGAAGUCUUUAUAUGGAUUGAAACAAUCCCCAAGGCAGUGGUACAAGCGGUUUGAUAGCUUCAUGAUUCAGCAUGGUUACACAAGAUGUGACUAUGAUGCUUGUGUCUAUCAUCGGAAGCUCUCGGAUGGUUCGCACAUUUAUUUGUUGCUGUAUGUUGAUGACAUGUUAAUUGCUUCCAAAAACAUGUCGGAAAUCAACAAGUUAAAGUCGCAGUUGAGUGGUGAGUUCGAGAUGAAGGAUCUGGGUGCUGCCAAGAAAAUUUUGGGCAUGGAUAUUCACAGAGAUCGCAAGGCGGGCAAGCUUCGUGUGUCGCAGAAGAACUACAUUGAAAAGGUUCUUCAACGCUUCGGCAUGGAUAAAGCGAAAACUGUGAGUACUCCGUUGGCACCACAUUUCAAACUCUCUGCAGAGUUGUCACCACAAUCUGAUGAAGAAAAGCAGCAAAUGUCUCACAUUCCAUACUCGAGUGCAGUUGGAAGCGUGAUGUAUGCAAUGGUUUGCACUCGUCCAGACAUUUCACAUGCAGUUAGUGUGGUCAGCAGAUACAUGAGUUGUCCUGGCAAGGAACACUGGCAGGCCGUGAAAUGGAUUCUCAGGUACUUGAGAGGUUCUGCAGAUUUAUGCUUGGUAUAUGAUCAGAGUGACUGCACUAGCAGUGUCACGGGCUAUGUGGACUCUGAUUAUGCUGGAGAUCUGGACAAAAGAAGAUCUCUGACGGGUUAUGUUUUCACUUAUUCUGGAGGAGCCAUUAGUUGGAAAGCUGUGUUACAGUCUACCGUAGCCUUAUCUACGACUGAGGCGGAAUAUAUGGCGUUAGCAGAAGCAGUGAAAGAAGCAUUGUGGAUGAAAGGUCUAGUAAGCAGUUUGGGUUUACAACAGGAUUUCACUGUUGUAUUUUGCGAUAGCCAGAGUGCCAUACAUCUGACUAAAAAUCAGAUGUUUCAUGAACGGACCAAACACAUUGAUGUCAGAUAUCAUUUUGUUCGGGAACAUGUUACGCAAGGUGACAUUGUUAUCAGCAAGGUUGCUACCGAGAAGAAUCCUGCAGAUAUGUUAACUAAGGUGAUCCCUGCAUAUAAGUUCAAGCAUUGCUUGGACUUGAUAGGUAUUCGGGAUUGAUUAGCGCCAGAGAGGCGUUUGGAAGAGGUGAUCCAGUUCGAGGAAUUCACUAUGAUGUUCAGCUUGGUAAAUUUCAAGCCAAGGUGGAGAUUUGUUAAGAAAUGGCUUUAAAUUGGUAGUGGAUUGUUGUUGUUGGUAGUGGGUUGUUGGUGGUAGUGGAUUAGUGGAUGGUUGUUGGUGUCCAUUUUCAACCACAAAUCUUUGCCAAAGUUUUGGACAAUUAUGUCCUUGAACUCUCUUAUAAAUAGAGAGGUUCAUUAGCCAUAUUAAUCAUCCCAAACCAAGAGAGAGCAAAGCUUGUUCUUUGAAAGCUAGGAUUUUAGCUUUCGGGUUUUCUAUAGGGGUUGAGAGUUGUGAGGUUCUCGGGUUGUGUCUUGAGUGUAAAACACUUGUAAUCUUCAUCUUGUUAUAGUGAAAUUUCUUUUCGCCUCUGCCCGUGGACGUAGGCAUUAAAGCCGAACCACGUAAAUCCUUGUGUUCACUUUAUUUUUCGUUUCGGUCAAUUUACUUGUAGUCAUAUCGGAGUUCUCGAAUCGAUCCUUUCCGCAACAAUUUUUGUAUUUUAAUUAAUAUUUUAAUCAGGCCACAGUCCUUGCCUAGGCCUCUAGCGGUGGAAGCCCGAGGGAAGAAAGAUAGAGAAAGGGCCAGCAGGUGCAGGAGGAGACAAAAUAAUUGAAGUUUUGGUCUUGCUAUCCUAACGUUUCAGUGGCAGAGAAAGGAGAUUAAUUAAUCAAGGUUGAGGCUGACCAAGUGAAGCAUUCGAUUUCUUCAUCUAACAGUUAUUAUGAUUCAUCCCCCACCCUUGCUCUUUCACCCUUGUGCCAAUGAAAGUUAUGUUUAUCUUUAUGGUGCCAAUCAAUCUGUGGCUGAAAAGUCAGUCCACUAAUAAAGCCAAUUGUAGUGUCAUUUCAUAACCAAAAAAAGUCGAAGUCUUUGUGUCGAAACCACUCUUUAUUAAAAUUUGAAAAAUGGGGAUCGACUUUGAAAAUAAAAUGAGAGUCGCCACCGAUCUUUUAUUAAUCGGUUCACCAUUAAAAAUAAAUUUUAGGUCUACUUGAGCACCUCUACUUGAGCACAACUUUUUUUAAUUCUUGUUAGUUUAUGAGAUAUUUUCACCUUUUUUAUAUAAAAAUAUGUUUUAGUUUCUAAUAUUUUAAAUAUAUAGGUUCUGUUCUAAUACUUUAUUUGCAAAUUAUGUCUAUUGUUUUUAAUAAUUAUGAAAAUUGCAAUCAAAAUCGAUGACCUAAAAAUUCAACAAUAAUUAAAUCAAAUAAAACGUGAAUAUAUUCAAACAAAAUUAAUAGAUAACAUCAGAUCAACUAAUAGUACUGUAAAUUCAACAAUAAAGGGAAUAACUAGAAUCUAUAUAAACAAUAUGAAGAAAAAAUUAAAGACGUGACAAGAGUUGCAUCCAACAGGACCAAUACUGUUUCGAUUACGUUUUGCUACCGCCUUAUGCCGCUGCCUGAAUUUGCCUAUUUGAUGUAAACCCACGGCCCCUUCCACCAUAUUCCCAACAAAAUACUUAUAGUUUGAUAUAGAAUAAAUUGUCCAUCAUUUUUUUAUCGAUAGACGAACUGGAUCGAUAAUUAAUAUUCUUUUUUUAUUAAUUCUCGAAGAGUUAAAUACUUUUGAAUCAUCAAAAUAUCUAGAUUAAUUUCUCCCCGUUGAAUAGAGGAUAUAACAAUUUCGUUUGGAUUUAUCAGUCUAAGUAGGAGGCAAUAUACUUUAAUAUUAUUGAUUAUUUUUUUAUUUAAAGAAUCAUCCCAUCUCAAUUGAAAACGCAAAUACCUUUUUAAGAAAAAAUCAAGCUCUGCUUCCGUUUUGCUCUUGUAUUGCUUUUUCUUUCUACUUUUUUUUUUGUUUGAUUUAUCAUAAUCUUCUUCAACAUCUUUUUCUUGGUUUGAGAGAACGGAUUUAAAAUUUCCUUGUUUUUGUGCAUCUGAUACCAUACCCCCUUCACCUAUGGGUUCUUUUUCUUCUUGAUUUUGAUUCUCUAAUCCAAUAAUUUGUUUUUCGUUUGGUGCUAUAAGGGAGUCCCUUUUUUAUUUUUAGUAAUAUUUUUAUUAAUGUUUCUAUUUCCAUUAAAAUUGAAAAGAAGUAAUUUUAUUGGUAUGAUCCAUGGUUUAACCUUAUAUGCAUUAUAUAGCAGCACAAAUUCUGGGAAGAACCAAAGUUCUAGAUUCGGUAUAGGAUGACUUAGUAUUUCUUCAUUCAGUCCCAUCCAAUCAAAAUGGCUUCCUUCUUUAUUGGAUGGGUUGCUUUCUUAAUCUUGAUAAAUUGUGAAAUAAAAAAAGGUCCAUUUUAUCAAUUAUUUGAUAAUUCUUAACCACAGUCUUAAUAUUUUUGUUACUCUUGGUACUGGUAUCGACCCAAGACUCAAUAUCGAC